UACGUAGGGUGCAAGCGUUGUCCGGAAUUAUUGGGCGUAAAGAGCUCGUAGGCGGUUUUGUCGCGUCUGCUGUGAAAACGCGAGGCUCAACCUCGCGCCUGCAGUGGGUACGGGCAGACUAGAGUGCGGUAGGGGGAGAUCGGAAUUCCUGGUGUAGCGGUGGAAUGCGCAGAUAUCAGGAGGAACACCGGUGGCGAAGGGCGGAUCUCUGGGCCAUAACUGACGCUGAGGAGCGAAAGCGUGGGGAGCGAACAGG
rnacentral:rRNA from 1 species